UACGUAGGGUGCGAGCGUUGUCCGGAAUUAUUGGGCGUAAAGAGCUCGUAGGCGGUGAGUCAAGUCGGCCGUGAAAACCUGCAGCUUAACUGUGGGCGUGCGGUCGAUACGGGCAUCACUGGAGUUCGGCAGGGGAGACUGGAAUUCCUGGUGUAGCGGUGAAAUGCGCAGAUAUCAGGAGGAACACCGGUGGCGAAGGCGGGUCUCUGGGCCGAUACUGACGCUGAGGAGCGAAAGCGUGGGGAGCGAACAGG
rnacentral:rRNA from 1 species